UACGUAGGGGGCAAGCGUUAUCCGGAUUUACUGGGUGUAAAGGGAGCGUAGACGGCAGCGCAAGUCUGGAGUGAAAUGCCGGGGCCCAACCCCGGAACUGCUCUGGAAACUGUGAAGCUGGAGUGCAGGAGAGGUAAGCGGAAUUCCCGGUGUAGCGGUGGAAUGCGCAGAUAUCGGGAAGAACACCGAUGGCGAAGGCAGAUCUCUGGGCCGCAACCGACGCUGAGGCGCGAAAGCUAGGGGAGCGAACAGG
rnacentral:rRNA from 1 species